rnacentral:rRNA from 1 species
GACGAACGCUGGUGGCGUGCCUAAUACAUGCAAGUCGAGCGAAGCGGCGGAUGGGUGAGUAACGCGUGGGUAACCUGCCCUUAAGUCUGGGAUACCAUUUGGAAACAGAUGCUAAUACCGGAUACUAAAGGAACGAACUGCGAUGCAUUAGCUAGUUGGUAAGGUAACGGCUUAACAAGGCGAUGAUGCAUAGACGGGUUGAGAGAGUGAUCGGCCACAGUGUGACUGGGAAACGGCCCAAACUCCUACGUGAGGCAGCAGUAGGGAAUCUUCCACAAUGGACGAAAGUCUGAUAGAGCAACGCCGCGUGAGUGAAGAAGGUUUUCGGAUCGUAAAGCUCUGUUGUUGGUGAAGCGGUAAUCAACCAGAAAGUCACGGCUAACUACGUGCCAGCAGCCGCGGUAAUUC